rnacentral:misc_RNA from 1 species
GGCUCAAGAUCGGGUUCCACGUGGAGGAGUACUCGAACCCUGUGUACUUCGCGGUGCUGGUGGAGUACGAGGACGGCGACGGCGACGUGGUGCAGGUGGAUCUCAUGGAGGCCAACUCCCAGUCGUGGACGCCGAUGCGCGAGUCGUGGGGCUCCAUCUGGAGGCUCGACUCCAACCACCGCCUCACGGCGCCCUUCUCGCUCCGCAUCACCAACGAGUCCGGCAAGCAGCUCGUCGCCAGCCAGGUCAUCCCGGCCAACUGGGCCCCCAUGGCCGUCUACCGUUCUUUCGUCCAGUACAGCAGCUAAGCCAAUGAUCAAGAACAAGCAUAAUUCAUGCCUACUAUAGCAGCAGCAGA